UUCAACUAGUAAAAUUUUCAUAUUUCAUGUACGUAUUAAUUUUAAUCCUACAAUUUUAUCAAAAAAUCAUAAUAUUUAUGUAUUUAUUUUAAUUUAAUUUUUUUAAGUUAAUGCGUUUUCACAUAUUCGGUGCAUUAUAUUUACAUGCUAUUUAUUCUAAAUUAACCAUUUUUUCUCUUUUGAUAUGUUUUUGUUAGCUAUCAUGAAAGGCUGAAAAACAACUAAUAAAAUAUAUUAAAAGUUUAAUAAAAUAAAAAAGAGUGAACUUUGAUGAUCAUCAAAAAUAAAAUAUUAGACCUUUAUCAAAUUUAAGUAAUCAAUCGAGUAAGGGGAGGAUUAAGCAUGACACAUGUUGUUCCUUAGAAACAUAAAAUAAUUCCAAUUUUAUUAAUGGUCUUUGUUAACUUAUAAAGGAUAACAACUAUUUAAUUAAUUUUAACAAAGCAUAAAAUUUUUUCUUAUAAAGUGAUCAAAUAGGUUUCUACUUAUUACAUACAAAAGAAGAAGAAGAAGAAGAUGGCUCAAAUCCUAAGCUUAUUUUAUGUUUUCAUCAUUUUUGUUUCUCUUUUCGUUGUUGUAAUCAAUGGAAACAUGACAGAGGAAACAAUCUGUAAGAAUCAUUCUGAAUGUCCCAUAAGCAUGUGCUACCAAUUUGAAAUUACAAUAUGUGUUCGUGGGAUAUGUUCGUGCGUGUAAGUUAAUUAAAUUAAAAAAAAUAAUUUACUAUUUGUAUUAGUGUAAUUUCCAAUUGUACUUUAUAAUUAAUGUCGGUAAUUUUAUAAUUUUCUUACAUUUUUAUUCAUGCUUUUUUACCUUUCAAUUUCACUGGCUGCAUCAAAUGUAUAUUGUUAGUAUUAUGCAAGUAUAUUACCUUUGUUCA